AACGAACGCUGGCGGCAGGCUUAACACAUGCAAGUCGAACGCAUCCUUCGGGGUGAGUGGCAGACGGGUGAGUAACGCGUGGGAACGUGCCCUUCAGUUCGGGAUAACCCAGGGAAACUUGGGCUAAUACCGGAUACGUGCGAGAGCAGAAAGAUUUAUCGCUGAAGGAUCAGCCCGCGUCUGAUUAGCUAGUUGGGGGGGUAAUGGCCCACCAAGGCGACGAACAGUAGCUGGUCCGAGAGGAUGAUCAGCCACAUUGGGACUGAGACACGGCCCAAACUCCUACGGGAGGCAGCAGUGGGGAAUAUUGGAAAAUGGGCGCAAGCCUGAUCCAGCCAUGCCGCGUGAGUGAUGAAGGCCUUAGGGUUGUAAAGCUCUUUCGUCCGGGACGAUAAUGACGGUACCGGAAGAAGAAGCCCCGGCUAACUUCGUGCCAGCCGCCGCAGUAA
rnacentral:rRNA from 1 species